ACUGGCAAAGAUGACACACUUGCCCUCACUUAGAACACAGUUCGUUGAUGAGAGCACCUAAUUGUCCUGAGCCAGU
rnacentral:snoRNA from 1 species